rnacentral:rRNA from 1 species
UUAAGUGACUAAGCGUACACGGUGGAUGCCUAGGCAAUCAGAGGCGAAGAAGGACGUGCUAAUCUGCGAAAAGCUUGGAUGAGUUGAUAAGAAGCGUUUAAUCCAAGAUAUCCGAAUGGGGAAACCCGAUGGAUGAAGAAUCCAUCAUUUCAUUAUGAAUCCAUAGUAAUGAAAGGCAAACCGGGAGAACUGAAACAUCUAAGUACCCCGAGGAAAAGAAAUCAACCGAGAUUUUGUCAGUAGCGGCGAGCGAAAGCGAAAGAGCCAGCAAGUGAUAGCAGCAAAGACAGAAGAAUUGGC